GCGGGCUUAUAGGUCCAGAAGAUGAAUGCGAUAGUCUCUACUGGCCUUUAUAGUCCCACU
rnacentral:pre_miRNA from 1 species